GAUCAAGGGGGGUCAAAUGUGUCCUGUGAAAAUGUAUGGGAAAAGCCUUCCAGCGAGAGGGGGCUGAAUGAAUAUAUGUGCCAAUAUGUGCCUGAAGCAGAUGUAUGUGAUGUGGUGGGUGAAAAUGUGAAGGGACAGCAAGGCUAUGAGGGAGGGCAGAGGGUGUGUGAGCUUUACUGUGCGCCAGACUUAGCCAGUUUCCAAAGUUCUGUAUGUGUGAUGACCUGGAGUGAAAGUGAGGGGCACGGACAGACUCAGCCUGUGGGUCCAGGAAGGAUGGCUGCAGGGAAACAUACUGUUGGGGGAACCAGGAACCUUGUCAGUUUAUCACAACUCACGCAUACACCUAAGCAACUUUCUGAUUGUGAACCAAAGGUUCAGAGUCUGAUAGUGCAACAAGCCCAGCAGACAGACUGCAAAAUGAAAGAGAUGAUGGGUGUUGAUACAGCACAUCUAUCCUGGGAGUGUUCUCUGUCUGCUUUUUUGUGUGCUUACCGGGGAGUGCUGCAGAAAUCCAUUGGUUUCUUCCCUUUACAGCUACUACAUGAGCGCAGUGGAUGUGGUUUAAGGGAUGUUACCAGAGAUCGAUGGAAAAUUGAAACAGGCAAAUCAGGCAUGUUUGUUGAGGGGGUAGCUGUGGUAUGGACU